UAAUAAUAAUUAUAUAUUUAAUGACAUCAUUUUCUUCACGAUUAUUGUUUUUCUUUUAACAACAGAUAUAUUACAGUGAAAAAAAAAACCCCAACAACGAAGGGAGGUCCUUGAGCUAAUUGGCCAACAAGAGAACGUCUUUGACAGGUGGGAAAUUAACAAAAGAGAGGCACUCCAGCAGUAAGUAAUUGAAAGCAUUAAAAAAAACCCACGUUAGUUUUAUGAAUCAGCUCUUAUUUAGUUGAUUAGCAAAUAUUUGCUCGUCAUUUCCAUCAUAUAUUGGAAUACUAGUUUCAGACUGAAUACCGAAUACUACUAAUAAUAAUAUAUUUAAUGACAUCAUUUUCUUCACAAGGGUUGUUUUUUUUUUUUUUUUUUUUUUUAAACUACAGACAUAGUACAGUCAAAUUCAAAAACAACGAAGGGAGAUCCUCGAGCUAAUCGGCCAACAAGAAAACGUCUUUGCACAUAUUACAGUGAAAUAAAAAAACAACGAAGGGAGCUGCUGGAUCUGAUCGGCAAACAAGAGAACAUCUUUGAACAUAUUACAGUAAAAUAAAAAAAGAAAACCGAAGAGAGGUCUAAGAGCUAAUCACCCAACAAGAGAACGUCUUUGCGUAAGUAUCCAGUUAAAUAUAUUCAAUGUAUUAAGUAUGAUCCAGGACUGACAUGUGGGGAAGGGGAGAGGUGGGAAAUUAACAGAAGAGAGGCUCUCCAGCAGUACAUAAUUCAAACAAUUAAAAAAACACCCCAUGUUAGUUUGAUGAAUCAGUUGUUAUUUAGUUGAUAAGCAAAUAUUUGCUCGUCAUUUCCAUCAAAUAUUGGAAUACUAGUUUCAGACUGAAUACCGAAUACUAAUAAUAAUUAUAUAUUUAAUGACAUCAUUUUCUUCACGAUUAUUGUUUUUCUUUUAACAACAGACAUAUUACAGUAAAAUAAAAAAGUAAAACCGAAGAGAGGUCUAAGAGCUAAUCACCCAACAAGAGAACGUCUUUGCGUAAGUAUCCAGUUAAAUAUAUUCAAUGUAUUAAGUAUGAUCCAGGACUGACAUGUGGGGAAGGGGAGAGGUGGGAAAUUAACAGAAGAGAGGCUCUCCAGCAGUACAUAAUUCAAACAAUUAAAAAAACACCCCACGUUAGUUUGAUGAAUCAGUUGUUAUUUAGUUGAUUAGCAAAUAUUUGCUCGUCAUUUCCAUCAAAUAUUGGAAUUCUAGUUUCAGACUGAAUACCGAAUACUAAUAAUAAUUAUAUAUUUAAUGACAUCAUUUUCUUCACGAUUAUUGUUUUUCUUUUAACAACAGACAUAUUACAGUAAAAUAAAAAAAGAAAACCGAAGAGAGGUCUAAGAGCUAAUCACCCAACAAGAGAACGUCUUUGCGUAAGUAUCCAGUUAAAUAUAUUCAAUGUAUUAAGUAUGAUCCAGGACUGACAUGUGGGGAAGGGGAGAGGUGGGAAAUUAACAGAAGAGAGGCUCUCCAGCAGUACAUAAUUCAAACAAUUAAAAAAACACCCCACGUUAGUUUGAUGAAUCAGUUGUUAUUUAGUUGAUUAGCAAAUAUUUGCUCGUCAUUUCCAUCAAAUAUUGGAAUUCUAGUUUCAGACUGAAUACCGAAUACUAAUAAUAAUUAUAUAUUUAAUGACAUCAUUUUUUUCACGUUUUUUUUUUUUUUUUUUAAACUACAUAGUACAUUCAAAUUGAAAAACAAAGAAGGGAGUUCCUCGAGCUAAUCGGCCAACAAGAGAACGUCUUUGCAUAAGUAUCCAGUUAAAUAUAUUGAAUGUAUUAAGUAUGAUCCAGGACUGAUGACAUGUGGGGAGGUGGGAGAUUAACAGAAGAGAAGGUCUCGAGCAGUAAGUAAUCGUUUGUGUAAACACUAAAACCACACGAGACACUCCAGCAGUAAGUAUCCAGUUAAAUAUAUUGAAUGUGGUAAGUAUGAUCUUGGACUGAUGACUUGUGUGGAAGUGGGGAGGGGCAGAUUAACAGAAGAGAGGCUCUCCAGCAGUAAGUAAUCGUUCGUGUAAACAGUAAAACCACACGAGACUCUCCAGCAGCAAAUAUUCAGUUAAAUAUAUUAUAUGUGUUAACUACAGAGAUAUUACAGUGACUUGAGAAGGGCAUAGCGACACCUAUUGGAAGAGCUUGCAUAUGAUGAAGCCUUCCAAGCAUAAGUAUCGAGUUACAUAUAAAGACUCCAUUAUAUGCGGUCAUAUAGGAUAGAAAAAGUACACCCUCGGUGGUGGAAAUUUCGACAUGGG